rnacentral:rRNA from 1 species
AGGUCUUCGGAUUGUAAAACUCUGUUGUAGGGGAAGAAAUGACAGAAGAGGAAAUGCUUUUGUUUUGACGGUACCCUACCAGAAAGCCACGGCUAACUAUGUGCCAGCAGCCGCGGUAAUACAUAGGUGGCAAGCGUUAUCCGGAUUUAUUGGGCGUACAGGGUGCGUAGGUGGUUGUGUAAGUUUGAGGUCAAAGCCUGGAGCUUAACUCCGGUUCGCCUUGGAAACUAUACUACUAGAAUGCAAGAGAGGUAAAUGGAAUUCCAUGUGUAGCGGUAAAAUGCGUAGAUAUAUGGAAGAACACCUGUGGCGAAAGCGGUUUACCAGCUUGUUAUUGACGCUGAGGCACGAAAGCGUGGGGAGCAAAUAGGAUUAGAUACCCUAGUAGUCCACGCCGUAAACGUUGAGUACUAGGUGUCGGGAAUUAUCUCGGCGCCGCAGCUAACGCAUUAAGUACUCCGCCUGAGUAGUAUGCACGCAAGUGUGAAACUCAAAGGAAUUGACGG